UGCCACUGGGUUCUGUGUUACCAAAACCAUG
rnacentral:piRNA from 1 species